GCUGGGCGUGGUGGCGCGUGCCUGUGGUCCCAGCUACUUGGGAGGCUGAGGCAGGAGAAUCGCUUGAACCCAGGAGGCGGAGGUUGCAGUGAGCUGAGAUGGCACCACUGCACUCCAGCCUGGGUGACAGAGCGAGACUCCGUCUCAA
ensembl:misc_RNA Metazoa_SRP Metazoan signal recognition particle RNA